CACAACGCUGUUACAGUGGAGCAGUUGAGCACACUGACAGUUCUGCAGUGUUGAUCUGAUGGAUAGCUCUGAAGAGAAAGUAAAUCCUCUGCUUGUGAGAUCCCACCUGGAGUACUGCAGUCAGCCCCUGGGGUCCCCAGUAUAAGGACAUGAACCUGUGUAUCUAGAGGAUGGCCAAGAAGAGGAGUGAAGCUUCACUUCUAUAAGAAUUAGCUGGACUGAGAUUGUUGUUGGAGCUGUUCAGCCUGGAGAAGAGAAGGCUCUGUGGAGAUAUUAUUGAAGACAAUCAGUUCCUAAAGGGAUAACUGCAUAAACUACUUAGAGGAGCCAUCAGAAUUGAGAUCUCUAGCUCUAUGGGGCAGGUCUCUGUCACUUGAACUAGUGGAAUAAAUACAGAUGUUGCUAAACAGUGCCAUCCUUCGUGUGCGACACAUAUUCAAAGGAGAGGUGCUCCAGAUCUUUCAUCAUCUUCAUGGACCUCCUCUGGACCUGCUCCAAUAGCUCCACACUCUCCCUGUAUUGGGAGCCCCAGGCCUGGACACAGUACUCCACACAAGGGCAGAGUGAGGGGGACCAUAACCUUCCUUUUCCUGCUGGCCACCCUUCUUUUGAUUCAGCUGAGGAUACUGUUGGCCUUCUGAGCUGCAAGUGCGCACUGCUGGUUCAUGUUCAGCUUUUCAUCCAUCAGGACCUCCAAGUCCUUCUCCACAGGGUUGCUCUCAAUGUGUUCUUCUCCCAGUCUGUACUCAUAUCUGGGAUUUCCCCUACCCAAGUGCAACAUCUUGAACUUGGCCUUGCGUUGGAGUGUAUCCUGGAGAGAGCCACAAAAAAGAUCCAAGUGAUGGAACAGCUCCCCUGUGAAGAGAAAAUGAAAGAGCUGGGUCUGUUCAGCCUGGAGAAGAGAAAGCUCCAGAGAGACCUGGUCGCAGCCUUUCAGUUUCUAACGGGAAUGUAAGAAAGAAGAGGACAGACUCAUUAGCAGAG
ensembl:lncRNA